rnacentral:rRNA from 1 species
UAAUACGGAGGGGGCUAGCGUUGUUCGGAAUUACUGGGCGUAAAGCGCACGUAGGCGGAUGGACAAGUCAGAGGUGAAAUCCCAGGGCUCAACCUUGGAACUGCCUUUGAAACUUUCCAUCUUGAGGUCGAGAGAGGUGAGUGGAAUUCCGAGUGUAGAGGUGAAAUUCGUAGAUAUUCGGAGGAACACCAGUGGCGAAGGCGGCUCACUGGCUCGAUACUGACGCUGAGGUGCGAAAGCGUGGGGAGCAAACAGG